UACCAGUACUAGAGGCACCACCUGCCCAGUGACAUAUGUUUAACGGCCGCGGUACCCUAACCGUGUAAAGGUAGCAUAAUCACUUGUUCCUUAAAUAGGGACUUGUAUGAAUGGCUCCACGAGGGUUCAGCUGUCUCUUACUUUCAACCAGUGAAAUUGACCUGCCCUUGAAGAGGCGGACAUAAUACAACAAGACGAGAAGACCCUAAGGAGCUUUAAUUUACGAAUGCAAACAAGACCAAAUAGGCCCGCAGGCCCUAAACUACCAGACCUGCGUGAAAAAUUUCGGUUGGGGCGACCUCGGAGUAUAACCCAACCUCCGAGCAACAUAUGCUGAGACUAUACCAGUCAAGGCGAAUAUCCACAUACAAUUGACCCAAUAAUUUGACCAACGGAACAAGUUACCCUAGUGAUAACAGUGCAAUCCUAUUCUAGGGUCCAUAACGACAGUAGCAUUUACGACCUCGAUGUUGGAUGAGGACAUCCCAAUGGUGCAGCCGCUAUUAAAGGUGUAUAAUGGUUGUUUUUGGAUAUACUACAGCAAUGGCUAUUGAGGAGUAUCCUGAGACACGGGGGUCAGGAAUUGAAGUCUUGACAUGGCCACAAUCUUCUCUUCUAAAAUUCUAAAAUCUGAGGGCUCUCGCUGGCUGGGUGCUGCUGGAAGAACUGUAACUUGGUUGUUACCUCAACGGUAUUUUAUUUUAAAUGUUUCAAUUAAAAGAAGUUUUUAAAAAUG